rnacentral:rRNA from 1 species
CACGUAGGGUGCGAGCGUUGUCCGGAAUUAUUGGGCGUAAAGAGCUCGUAGGCGGUGUGUCGCGUCGGCCGUGAAAACCUGCAGCUUAACUGUGGGCUUGCGGUCGAUACGGGCAUCACUGGAGUUCGGCAGGGGAGACUGGAAUUCCUGGUGUAGCGGUGAAAUGCGCAGAUAUCAGGAGGAACACCGGUGGCGAAGGCGGGUCUCUGGGAAUGUCCUGACGCUGAGGAGCGAAAGCUAGGGGAGCAAACGGG